CCGGAGCUUGCUCCACCGGGAAAAGAGGAGUGGCGAACGGGUGAGUAACACGUGGGUAACCUGCCCAUCAGAAGGGGAUAACACUUGGAAACAGGUGCUAAUACCGUAUAACAAUCGAAACCGCAUGGUUUCGUUUUGAAAGGCGCUUUACGGUGCCGCUGAUGGAUGGACCCGCGGUGCAUUAGCUAGUUGGUGAGGUAACGGCUCACCAAGGCCACGAUGCAUAGCCGACCUGAGAGGGUGAUCGGCCACAUUGGGACUGAGACACGGCCCAAACUCCUACGGGAGGCAGCAGUAGGGAAUCUUCGGCAAUGGACGAAAGUCUGACCGAGCAACGCCGCGUGAGUGAAGAAGGUUUUCGGAUCGUAAAACUCUGUUGUUAGAGAAGAACAAGGGUGAGAGUAACUGUUCACCCCUUGACGGUAUCUAACCAGAAAGCCACGGCUAACUACGUGCCAGCAGCCGCGGUAAUACGUAGGUGGCAAGCGUUGUCCGGAUUUAUUGGGCGUAAAGCGAGCGCAGGCGGUUUCUUAAGUCUGAUGUGAAAGCCC
rnacentral:rRNA from 1 species